UGGGGAAUCUUGGACAAUGGGCGCAAGCCUGAUCCAGCCAUGCCGCGUGAGUGAUGAAGGCCCUAGGGUUGUAAAACUCUUUCGUGGGGGACGAUAAUGACGGUACCCCAAGAAGAAGCUCCGGCUAACUUCGUGCCAGCAGCCGCGGUAAUACGAAGGGGGCUAGCGUUGUUCGGAUUUACUGGGCGUAAAGCGCGUGUAGGCGGGCUGGAAAGUUGGGGGUGAAAUCCCGAGGCUCAACCUCGGAACUGCCUCCAAAACUUCCAGCCUGGACUCAAGUAGAGGCAAGUGGAAUUGCGAGUGUAGAGGUGAAAUUCGUAGAUAUUCGCAGGAACACCAGUGGCGAAGGCGACUUGCUGGGCUUGUAGUGACGCUGAGACGCGAAAGCGUGGGGAGCAAACAGGAUUAGAUACCCCAGUAGUCCCUGAGCGGGCUGGCAAGGCGCAU
rnacentral:rRNA from 1 species